rnacentral:lncRNA from 1 species
ACACACACAGCAAGAGAGACAGACGUCCGAUGUGUGUUCUCUUGGCCUUUGAGAGAUCACAGAGUUUAUUCCUUUGGCCACAUACCUGCAGAUCUACAAGAAGGAUGAAAUUGUAGACUUCCAUGGAGUGGAAUGCCCUGGAAAUGUAACCAUGGCAAAACUGAGAGAGUCUACAGUGUCACCCAGCAUGACAUUGCUAUAAACAAGAAAUUUAAGGGCAUGGUUCUUGUCAGAAGAAUAAAUGUGCACCUCGAGCAUAUG